GUCUUCACAGCUGAGCUGAUUGGUGCUUAGUAUAUCGUACCUACAGCUUCAUUAGUGACAUGCACGUACACCUUUAUUCUAAGAGAAAUCACUAAGGAUAGGACGGGAGACAUAUCUGUGAAGAAAUGGAGAAUACUAUUACACCCCCUCCUACCAACAGUUUAUGGUACACAUCUCUAAGGGGAAGGUCACUGAGAUUGUCCUUGUAAAAUUGUUCAGGAAUCAACGAUACUGAGGAACCUGUGUCCAAUUCCAUUGACAGAGUAUGACCAUUGAGGGAUGGAUGUAUUACAAUUGGAUCCACACCGUUAUGACUGUGAACAUGUAGUAUUGGUUCAUAUGAAUUCUCGUCUGGAACUUGCUCUUCAACAAACUUAACAUUCUUACCGCGUGUAUUUUGACGACCAUUAAAGCCUCUU